rnacentral:rRNA from 1 species
AGUGAACGCUGGCGGUAUGCCUAACACAUGCAAGUCGAACGGCACCACCGUAACAGCUUGCUCUUACGUGUGGCGAGUGGCGGACGGUUGAGGUAUACAUCGGAAUCUACUUUUUCGCGGCGGCUAAUGUAGGGUAACUUACGCUAAUACCGCAUACGACCUCCGGGUGUAAGCACGGGAUCUUCUGACCUUGCGCGAUUGUAUGAGCCGAUGUCGGCUUAGCUAGUUGGCGGGGUAAAGGCCCACCACGGCCACGCUCCGUAGCUGGUCUGACAGGAUGGACAGGCACACUGGAAGUGAGACACGGUCCAGACUCCUGCGGGAGGAAGCAGUGGAGAAUAUUGGACAAUGGGGGAGAGGCUAAUCCAGCCAUACCGGGUGGGUGAAGAAGGAGUUCGGGUUGGAGAGCCAUGAUGUUGGGAAAGAAAAGCAGCAGGUUAAUACGCCGCGGUACUGACAGUACCCAAAGAAUAAGCACCGGCUAACUUCGUG